rnacentral:rRNA from 1 species
GACGAACGCUGGCGGCGUGCUUAACACAUGCAAGUCGAACGGAAAGGCCCUGCUUUUGUGGGGUGCUCGAGUGGCGAACGGGUGAGUAACACGUGAGUAACCUGCCCUUGACUUUGGGAUAACUUCAGGAAACUGGGGCUAAUACCGGAUAGGAGCUCCUGCUGCAUGGUGGGGGUUGGAAAGUUUCGGCGGUUGGGGAUGGACUCGCGGCUUAUCAGCUUGUUGGUGGGGUAGUGGCUUACCAAGGCUUUGACGGGUAGCCGGCCUGAGAGGGUGACCGGCCACAUUGGGACGAGAUACGGCCCAGACUCCUACGGGAGGCAGCAGUGGGGAAUAUUGCACAAUGGGCGGAAGCCUGAUGCAGCAACGCCGCGUGCGGGAUGACGGCCUUCGGGUUGUAAACCGCUUUCGCCUGUGACGAAGCGUGAGUGACGGUAAUGGGUAAAGAAGCACCGGCUAACUACGUG